rnacentral:piRNA from 1 species
UGACACAGGAAUGAUGUGAUGAAG